rnacentral:rRNA from 1 species
AUUGAACGCUGGCGGCAGGCCUAACACAUGCAAGUCGAGCGGAUGAAGGGAGCUUGCUCCUGGAUUCAGCGGCGGACGGGUGAGUAAUGCCUAGGAAUCUGCCUGGUAGUGGGGGAUAACGUCCGGAAACGGGCGCUAAUACCGCAUACGUCCUGAGGGAGAAAGUGGGGGAUCUUCGGACCUCACGCUAUCAGAUGAGCCUAGGUCGGAUUAGCUAGUUGGUGGGGUAAAGGCCUACCAAGGCGACGAUCCGUAACUGGUCUGAGAGGAUGAUCAGUCACACUGGAACUGAGACACGGUCCAGACUCCUACGGGAGGCAGCAGUGGGGAAUAUUGGACAAUGGGCGAAAGCCUGAUCCAGCCAUGCCGCGUGUGUGAAGAAGGCCUUCGGAUUGUAAAGCACUUUAAGUUGGGAGGAAGGGCAGUAAGUUAAUACCUUGCUGUUCUGACGUUACCAACAGAAUAAGCACCGGCUAACUUCGUG